rnacentral:rRNA from 1 species
CUUGCUUUCUUUGCUGGCGACCGGCGCACGGGUGAGUAACACGUAUCCAACCUGCCCUUUACUCGGGGAUAGUCUUUCGAAAGAAAGAUUAAUACCCGAUAGCAUAAUGAUUCCGCAUGGUUUCAUUAUUAAAGGAUUCCGGUAAAGGAUGGGGAUGCGUUCCAUUAGGUUGUUGGUGGGGUAACGGCCCACCAAGCCUUCGAUGGAUAGGGGUUCUGAGAGGAAGGUCCCCCACAUUGGAACUGAGACACGGUCCAA